rnacentral:rRNA from 1 species
GACGAACGCUGGCGGCGUGCUUAACACAUGCAAGUCGAACGGAAAGGCCCUGCUUUUGUGGGGUGCUCGAGUGGCGAACGGGUGAGUAACACGUGAGUAACCUGCCCUUGACUUUGGGAUAACUUCAGGAACCUGGGGCUAAUACCGGAUAGGAGCUCCUGCUGCAUGGUGGGGGUUGGAAAGUUUCGGCGGUUGGGGAUGGACUCGCGGCUUAUCAGCUUGUUGGUGGGGUAGUGGCUUACCAAGGCUGUGACGGGUAGCCGGCCUGAGAGGGUGACCGGCCACAUUGGGACUGAGAUACGGCCCAGACUCCUACGGGAGGCAGCAGUGGGGAAUAUUGCACAAUGGGCGGAAGCCUGAUGCAGCAACGCCGCGUGCGGGAUGACGGCCUUCGGGUUGUAAACCGCUUUCGCCUGUGACGAAGCGUGAGUGACGGUAAUGGGUAAAGAAGCACCGGCUAACUACGUG